UAGGGAAUCUUCGGCAAUGGACGAAAGUCUGACCGAGCAACGCCGCGUGAGUGAAGAAGGUUUUCGGAUCGUAAAACUCUGUUGUUAGAGAAGAACAAGGACGUUAGUAACUGAACGUCCCCUGACGGUAUCUAACCAGAAAGCCACGGCUAACUACGUGCCAGCAGCCGCGGUAAUACGAAGGUGGCAAGCGUUGUCCGGAUUUAUUGGGCGUAAAGCGAGCGCAGGCGGUUUCUUAAGUCUGAUGUGAAAGCCCCCGGCUCAACCGGGGAGGGUCAUUGGAAACUGGGAGGCUUGAGUGCAGAAGAGGAGGGUGGAAUUCCAUGUGUAGCGGUGAAAUGCGUAGAUAUAUGGAGGAACACCAGUGGCGAAGGCGGCUAUCUGGUCUGUAACUGACGCUGAGGCUAGAAAGCGUGGGGAGCAAACAUG
rnacentral:rRNA from 1 species